rnacentral:tRNA from 1 species
GCGUCAGUAGCCAAAUGGCUCAAGGCACCUGCCUCUUAAGCAGGGGAUUGUGAGUUCGAGUCUCACCUGGCGCA